rnacentral:rRNA from 1 species
GAUGAACGCUAGCUACAGGCUUAACACAUGCAAGUCGAGGGGAAACGGCAUUAAGUGCUUGCACUUUUUGGACGUCGACCGGCGCACGGGUGAGUAACGCGUAUCCAACCUUCCCAUGACUAAGGGAUAACCUGCCGAAAGGCAGACUAAUACCUUAUGGUCUUCACUGACGGCAUCAGAUGUGAAGUAAGAUUUAUCGGUUAAGGAUGGGGAUGCGUCUGAUUAGCUUGUUGGCGGGGUAACGGCCCACCAAGGCAACGAUCAGUAGGGGUUCUGAGAGGAAGGUCCCCCACAUUGGAACUGAGACACGGUCCAAACUCCUACGGGAGGCAGCAGUGAGGAAUAUUGGUCAAUGGGCGAGAGCCUGAACCAGCCAAGUAGCGUGCAGGAUGACGGCCCUAUGGGUUGUAAACUGCUUUUGUAUGGGGAUAAAGUCAAUCACGUGUGAUUGUUUGCAGGUACCAUACGAAUAAGGACCGGCUAAUUCCGUG